rnacentral:rRNA from 1 species
CCUACGGGUGGCAGCAGUAGGGAAUAUUGCUCAAUGGCGGAAACGCUGAACCAGCAACGCCGCGUGGAGGAUGAAGGUUCUCGGAUUUUCAACUCCUUUUGUUAGAGAAGAUAAUGACGGUAUCUAACGAAUAAGCACCGUCUAACUCCGUGCCAGCAGCCGCGGUAAUACGGAGGGUGCAAGCGUUACUCGGAAUCUCUGGGCGUAAAGCGGGCGUAGGCGGGAUAGCAAGUCAGAUGUGAAAUCCUAUGGCUUAACCAUAGAACUGCAUUUGAAACUGUUAUUCUAGAGUAUGGGAGAGGUAGGGGGAAUGCGUGGUGUAGGGGUAAAAUCCGUAGAGAUCAAGAGGAAUACUGAUUGCGAAGGCGACCUGCUAGAACAUAACUGACGCUGAGGCGCGAAAGCGUGGGGAGCAAACAGGAUUAGAUACCCCAGUAGUC